rnacentral:tRNA from 1 species
GCCUCCGUAGCUUCAAGGGUAAAGCACCAGUCUAAUAAACUGGGUCUACACAGACAUUCGGGUUCGAAUCCCGGCGGAGGCG